CCGGGGGCGUUUCUAGUGGCGAACGGGUGAGUAACACGUAAGUAACCUGCCCUUCAUCUUUGGGAUAACUCGCGGAAACGUGGGCUAAUACCGAAUAUUCUUUUCCUGCUGCAUGGUGGGGUUUGGAAAGGCUUCCUUUUGGGGGUUGGUGGGGGAUGGGCUUGCGGCCUAUCAGUUUGUUGGUGGGGUGAUGGCCUACCAAGGCGUGGACGGGUAACCGGCCUGAGAGGGUGUUCGGUCACACUGGGACUGAGAUACGGCCCAG
rnacentral:rRNA from 1 species